UUGGAGGUAGGGUUAUAGAUACUUGUUUGC
rnacentral:piRNA from 1 species